AGAACACAAAAGCCAUGCACACCCCUAACAGAAAGUAGUAGCAGCAGGAACAGGAAAGUACCUGCCCUGUCAGACCUUGGCUGCUGCUAAAGAAAGCUGCAGAUUCUGAAUAGUACAAUCAGCCGGUCCCCAGAAUAGAAGUUACAAUAGUUCAACUUGGAAGCAACAAAAGGCUUCAUCAAUCACAUCGAUGUUGCUCUGUUUGGCUGAACACAUCUCUCUCUGGCAUUAGUUUGGAAACCUGGACAGACAUGACUCAUGAACAUCUCCCAACUUGUUAUCAGAUUUAAAGGACAAAUCUGAAAUGCAUCUUUCUCAAAUUU